AAGUCGUAACAAGGUUUCCGUAGGUGAACCUGCGGAAGGAUCAUUAACACUUUUUCUUUGAGUUUUUCUCAGCAUGUGCGCACAGUAGGAACUCGUUUGCCAUAGAUCGACGCGUUAUGAUUGGAAGCUCGAAAGGGCUUGGCGCGCCGGUAAUUUGGCUGACGGGGAAUAAAACUCAGUCUCUAAUCAUGGCUGGAAUUUUUUUUUACUUGAUUUUCGAACUGAUUUUAGGCAACGAUCGAGACCCUCUCUCUCUCCAGAGCGGGCCUCUCUGCGCCUCAGAUGAAUUUUUCUUCUUAGAAAAAUCUCUUCAACAUUAAACACAACUCUUAACAGCGGAUAUCUCGGUUCUCGU
rnacentral:misc_RNA from 1 species